AUGGAUCCAUGUGCUCAUGGUAACAGUUCCCCUAACCUGACCGUCCUGCCCCCCUCUAGUGAGGAGCUGUCCCGUAAGACAACGGCCACACUGACGUGUCUGGCCAACAAGGGCUUCCCCUCAGACUGGACCAUGAGCUGGAAAGUGGACGGCAACAGCAAGAAGCAGGACGGCAACGACGGCCUGUACAGCUGGAGCAGCACCCUGACUCUCACUGCCCAGGAGUGGAUCAAGGCAGUGUCCGUAACCUGUGAGGCCCACCAGGAUAACCCGGGCCGAGGAGACCCUGGACUCCACUGA